CCCUUAGAUGUCCUGGGCCGCACGCGCGCUACACUGAUGCAUUCAGCGAGUUUUACCUUGGCCGAGAGGCCUGGGCAAUCUUUUAAACCUGCAUCGUGAUAGGGAUAGAUUAUUGCAAUUAUUAAUCUUGAACGAGGAAUUCCUAGUAAACGCAAAUCAUCAAUUUGCAUUGAUUACGUCCCUGCCCUUUGUACACACCGCCCGUCGCACCUACCGAUUGAAUGGUCCGGUGAAGCCUCGGGACUGUGGCCAGUUCACUUUAUUGGGAGUUGGCUGUGAGAACUUGUCUAAACCUUAUCAUUUAGAGGAAGGUGAAGUCGUAACA
rnacentral:rRNA from 1 species